GGAGGGAGUAGCGAAGCGUGCCAAACGCGGGUGGCUGUAACCCACUUCCUCACGGUUCGGGGGUUCAGAAUCCCUCCCCCUCCACCA
rnacentral:tRNA from 1 species